rnacentral:rRNA from 1 species
AACGAACGCUGGCGGCAGGCUUAACACAUGCAAGUCGAACGGGUGUCGCAAGACAUCAGUGGCAGACGGGUGAGUAACACGUGGGAACCUUCCUAGGGGUACGGAACAACUCAGGGAAACUUGAGCUAAUACCGUAUACGUCCGUAAGGAGAAAGAUUCAUCGCCCCUGGACGGGCCCGCGUCGGAUUAGGUAGUUGGUGGGGUAACGGCCUACCAAGCCUACGAUCCGUAGCUGAUCUGAGAGGANGAUCAGCCACACUGGGACUGAGACACGGCCCAGACUCCUACGGGAGGCAGCAGUGGGGAAUCUUGGACAAUGGGCGAAAGCCUGAUCCAGCGACGCCGCGUGGGUGAAGAAGGCCUGCGGGUUGUAAAGCCCUUUCAGUGGGGAAGAAAGCCUCGACCUAACACGUCGGGGUCUGACGUAACCCAUAGAAGAGCACCGGCUAACUCUGUGCCAGCCGCCGCAGUAAC